rnacentral:misc_RNA from 1 species
UACGGAGAGUGCAAGCGUUACUCGGAAUCACUGGGCAUAAAGAGCACGUAGGCGGAAACGUGUGUCGGUGGUGAAAGCCCUCGGCUUAACCGAGGAAUGGCCUCCGAAACUGCGUUUCUUGAGGACGAGAGGGGAGAGCGGAACUUCCGGUGGAGCGGUGAAAUGCGUAGAUAUCGGAAGGAACACCGAUGGCGAAAGCAGCUCUCUGGCUCGUAUCUGACGCUGAGGUGCGAAAGCGUGGGUAGCAAACGGG